GGACCUGCAUUUUUCUGGGUGCUUGUUCCAGAUAUGUGGAGCAUAAAAACAGAACGCUGCUUCUCCAUGUUUAGUUCUGACCCUGGUGACAGAAACCGGACCUUUCCCAGAAGACGUGGAGG